UACGUAGGGGGCACGCGUUGUCCGGAUUUAUUGGGCGUAAAGAGCGUGUAGGCGGCCAGGUAGGUCCGUUGUGAAAACUGGAGGCUUAACCUCCAGCUGUCGAUGGAAACCAUCUGGCUAGAGUCCGGAAGAGGAGAGUGGAAUUCCUGGUGUAGCGGUGAAAUGCGCAGAUAUCAGGAAGAACACCCGUGGCGAAGGCGGCUCUCUGGGACGGUACUGACGCUGAGACGCGAAAGCGUGGGGAGCGAACAGG
rnacentral:rRNA from 1 species